rnacentral:rRNA from 1 species
UGGGGAAUAUUGGACAAUGGGCGAAAGCCUGAUCCAGCAAUGCCGCGUGAGUGAUGAAGGCCUUAGGGUCGUAAAGCUCUUUUACCCGGGAUGAUAAUGACAGUACCGGGAGAAUAAGCCCCGGCUAACUCCGUGCCAGCAGCCGCGGUAAUACGGAGGGGGCUAGCGUUGUUCGGAAUUACUGGGCGUAAAGCGCACGUAGGCGGUUAUUCAAGUCAGAGGUGAAAGCCCGGGGCUCAACCCCGGAACGGCCUUUGAAACUAGAUAACUAGAAUCUUGGAGAGGCGAGUGGAAUUCCGAGUGUAGAGGUGAAAUUCGUAGAUAUUCGGAAGAACACCAGUGGCGAAGGCGACUCGCUGGACAAGUAUUGACGCUGAGGUGCGAAAGCGUGGGGAGCAAA